rnacentral:rRNA from 1 species
GUCUAUGGCCAUACUACCCCGAAUAUGCCUGAUCUCAUCCGAUCUCGGAAGCUUAAGCAGGGUAGGGCCUUGUUAGUACUUGGAUGGGAGAAGCAAGGAAUCAUAAAAA